AGCUGUCAAUGAUGAUCUUGUUUACAAAACAUUGGGAAUCUCUCUGAAUAAGGGUGAAAGAAGACUUGUUACUGAUGCAGUG
ensembl:snoRNA SNORD79 Small nucleolar RNA SNORD79